CCCAAGCAGCAUUGCUGUACCAAGAGCCGGUGGAUUCCUCAGCACUGCAACAUUUCCUGCAGCGUGAGGGAGCUCCCUCAAUGUCCCCAUGGCAAGCUGCUAAGAAAAAGACUUGCUGCAUCGUGGAGAUACAUACCCCUUGUAGAAUCAGAACUGGCUUAUAAACUAGCUACAGGAAUUAGAAAUCAUUCAGAAGGACACAGUGCUUUGAAACUACAAGACACCCACCUGCCUGGGAGCCAGGCGAGGCUGGUCACAUCGCUGUGUUAGACAGGCCUGCUAAGGGUUGCUGCCAAGCUGCUUGAAACUAUCCCAAUUCAACUACAGCGAUUUGAGCACAGUAAAUAGGACCUGAUAUCCACCAAGAGAAGCCUUAACAUAUCUUCCUGAUGUACAGUGAUGGAUACAAGCACUUCAGGGAUGCAGUCUCACCUCUUCCUUUUUGCCUCUUUGCUUCCUGUCAUUUUUUGCAUACCUUUGUAAAAAGGAGAUGUUU